rnacentral:rRNA from 1 species
AACGAACGCUGGCGGCAUGCCUAACACAUGCAAGUCGAACGAUACCUUCGGGGAUAGUGGCGCACGCGUGCGUAACGCGUGGGAACCUGCCCUUAGGUUCGGAAUACCUCAGUGAAAUUUGAGCUAAUACCGGAUAAUGUCUUCGGACCAAAGAUUUAUCGCCUUUGGAUGGGCCCGCGUUGGCUUAGCUAGUUGGUGGGGUAAAGGCCUACCACGGCUUCGAUCCAUAGCUGGUCUGGGAGGAUGCUCAGCCACACUGGGAGGGAGAAACGGCCCAGACUCCUACGGGAGGCAGCAGUGGGUAAUAUAGGACAAUGGGCGGAAGCCUGAUGCAGCAAUGCUGGGUGAGCGAUGAAGGCCUGAGGGUUGUAAAGCUCGUUUAUCCGGGAUGAUAAUGACAGUACCGAGAGAAUAAGCCCCGGCUAACUUCGUG